GCCGGGCGUGGUAGCGGGCACCUGUAAUCCCAGUUACUUGGGAGGCUGAGGCAGGAGAAUCACUUGAACCCGGGAGGUGGAGGUUGCAGUGAGCCAAGAUCGCGCCACUGCACUCCAGCCUGGGUGACAAAGUGAAAUUCUGUCUCAA
rnacentral:SRP_RNA from 1 species